UGUUUGCGUUAAGGAUAGCAGUGGAAAUCCUUUUUUAUAACCAAUAACAAAUAACCACCAACCAAUAACCAAAUAAAAAAGAUUGUAACGGAUAGCCUGACCCUUG
rnacentral:sRNA from 1 species